GAGUUGUUUUUAAAGCGUUGCUAUGCAGUUGCCAAGGUGUUCGGAGUUGUUUUUAAAGCGUUGCUAUGCAGUUGCCAAGGUGUUCGGAGUUGUUUUUAAAGCGUUGCUAUGCAGUUGCCAAGGUGUUCGGAGUUGUUUUUAAAGCGUUGCUAUGCAGUUGCCAAGGUGUUCGGAGUUGUUUUUAAAGCGUUGCUAUGCAGUUGCCAAGGUGUUCGGAGUUGUUUUUAAAGCGUUGCUAUGCAGUUGCCAAGGUGUUCGGAGUUGUUUUUAAAGCGUUGCUAUGCAGUUGCCAAGGUGUUCGGAGUUGUUUUUAAAGCGUUGCUAUGCAGUUGCCAAGGUGUUCGGAGUUGUUUUUAAAGCGUUGCUAUGCAGUUGCCAAGGUGUUCGGAGUUGUUUUUAAAGCGUUGCUAUGCAGUUGCCAAGGUGUUCGGAGUUGUUUUUAAAGCGUUGCUAUGCAGUUGCCAAGGUGUUCGGAGUUGUUUUUAAAGCGUUGCUAUGCAGUUGCCAAGGUGUUCGGAGUUGUUUUUAAAGCGUUGCUAUGCAGUUGCCAAGGUGUUCGGAGUUGUUUUUAAAG